rnacentral:rRNA from 1 species
UACGUAGGGUGCAAGCGUUGUCCGGAAUUAUUGGGCGUAAAGAGCUCGUAGGCGGUUUGUCGCGUCUGCUGUGAAAACUCGGGGCUCAACUCCGGGCCUGCAUUCGAUACGGGCGGACUAGAGUUCGGUAGGGGAGACUGGAAUUCCUGGUGUAGCGGUGAAAUGCGCAGAUAUCAGGAGGAACACCGGUGGCGAAGGCGGGUCUCUGGGCCGAUACUGACGCUGAGGAGCGAAAGCGUGGGGAGCGAACAGG